ensembl:lncRNA
UGGGUCUAAAAUAUAUAUAUAAUAUAUUUUUUUUCCUUGCAGCAAACAAAAAACUCUCAUAGAUGGUUUCUGAUCAGGAUUUUCAUUAAAAUGUUUUUUUCAGGGGGGAGGUGAAGACAAAAGAUGGAGAGAAAAAUCCCUCCCUUUGUCAUCUUUUCUUUCAUUCUGUUGUGUUCUCUUUCCAUGCCCAGGGAAGCUGGAUGUAAACAGGACCCUGCCUACAACCAGCUUUGAGCAAGUACAAACAUUUCCGAUAUCUCGUUUGCCUUUGCAGAGCAUUGGGUGGCGAGCUCGGAAUAAAAUAAUAAUAAUAAUAAAAAAAAAAACAACAAACAACAAAAUAAAAACAGAAAAGCCUCAAAAACGCACACCAAAAGCACUGCGCUGCUGCCUGCUCCCCGCAGCUCCGAGGGGCCGGGAGCAGAGGCAUUUCCCUUUCAAGUCUCUUGGCCGCUUGCCACCCUGCCCUCGGCGCAGGUGGGCGAUUCCCAUUACUGCUAAUGCAAGUUAAACAGAACCACCUGCCGAGCACGUGGUCCGUGCGGAAACCUCCCGAACUCCACCCGAGACGAGACAGUUUACGACCAUCGCUGGUUGCUGAGGCUCGUUAUGGUCUCACGUAAUUACUCUUCCUCUCAUAUCUUUGCUGUGAAUGAGAGAUAAAGAAGGCAAGCAUAGCUCGCAUCAGUAGGUUUCAGAGUUAACACGACUAGAGGAAGGAAUCAUCUUGAUGAGCUUGCUUGUAAUGUAGAGAGAGGGGCUUGGGGAGCUACUGUGGUCACUGAGAGGUUGCUGGUUUUUGGCUCUUUGCUGAGAGGAGCCAGCAGCUGCAGACAGAGCGGGGCAUUAAGGAAAACAAAUGGGCCGGAGCCGAGAGGGAGAAGCCCGGAUACGGCCGCAUUUGUCAGGCUCCGUAUCGGCAUGUGGCCAUCGCUCAGCAGCCCGUUAUACCUGGAAACGGCAGGGGAGCGCAGACAGAAGCCGUGUGGAUCUGGGUGUUUCACCAACCUGCGCAAAGCGAGCGGCCAAAUUUCCUGGGCUGCAGCCGCCCCUGGCCAGCGUCGCAGCUGCCCCCUGAGCCCGUCCUGCUCGUCACACCAAUGGGCUGCUCUGGGAGCAGGCAUCCCCGGAGGGUUUCCUCUGCUGCUGCCUGGGCAAACUGAGACAUCCUCUGAGCAUCCCCACGUCCCUGAGCAUCCUGCAUCUCCGAGCAUCCUGCAUCCCUGAGCAUCUCCAUAUCCCGCAGCAUCCCGCAUCCCGCAGCAUCCCACGUCCCUAAGCCAGCAGGUCCCAGGCACGGGGCCGAGGGCGCAGCAGGAGCCCCGCAGGGGUGGAGGGCUGCGGAGGGUGACGGCGACGUAGCACCUACUCUAAUGGGAUCCUCUCCACAAGUAAUUAAGCCUCGGCUAAUGCUAACCGUAAUGUGAUGUAUGUAUGCCUUUAACUAAUCAUUUAUUAGCCUCGUUGAUGGUUUGUCAAUAUUAAUUCAUUUAUUUAAACAACUCCGAGCUGUAAUGAAGAUGUUUGCUUUAAGGGGGAAAAAAGAGAUGGAGCUGCCAGGAGAUUUUUUGUUGACUCGAUGGAUGUCGCUCUGCCCUGGGUGAUGAGCAGCGUCCCUGCCCUCGAAACCCGGCCCCUCGCUGCCAGCGGUGUCCCCAACCUGGUGGCAGCCCCCGGAGCAUCCCGAGGGGCUGCUGUAGGGACCCCCCCCACCCCCCAGCACCUCUGGGCUGGCUGGGAUGGGGCCACCCAAACCAGCUGAGCGCUGUGGCCAGAACAACUUUGUUUCAAAGAAUUUCCAUCAGUUUGACCUUAAAAUGUUCCAGCCAUACUUAGACGCCUGAAGUCAGACCCAAAUGUGCUGCACGACCAGGAACAAUUGGUUUCUGCUGACUUUCGACUUGCUAAUGAUUUCAAAUUGGUUUUCAUUUCAAAUCAAAUUACUUCUAUUUAAUAUUUUUUUGAGGUGGGGGAGAAGGAAAUUGACAAGAAGCUGAAAAAGAUGUAUUUUUUGUCCCAUUUGAUAGCCCAGGUUGGGCUGGAUUUGCUCCUUCUUCUGCAGCCCUUGGGUGCCGAGGCCAGCAGGGUGCUCUCCAGGGGAGCAUCCCCAGGGAAGCUGGGUCCUGUGCCGGGGCUGUGCCAAGCGGCUCCUGCAACACGGGCUUUGGUGCUGGCCCUGGAUAUUGCAGCAGCUGCUUUCAGCUCUCCUCGUCAGCUUCUUAAUAUC